CAUGCUAUAAGAGAGCGGCCGAAUUUUCUGAAUAAGCUAGUUGGGUGGGUAAAGGCCCCACCAAGGCGACGAUCAGUAGCUGUUCUGAGAAGACGAUCAGCACCACUGGGAACUGAGACACGGCCCAGACUCCUACGGGAGGCAGCAGUGGGGAAUUUUGGACAAUGGGCGAAAGCCUGAUCCAGCAAUGCCGCGUGUGUGAAGAAGGCCUUCGGGUUGGUAAAGCACUUUUGUCCGGAAAGAAAUGGCUCUGGUUAAUACCUGGGGUCGAUGACGGUACCGGAAGAAUAAGGACCGGCUAACUACGUGCCAGCAGCCGCGGUAAUACGUAGGGUCAAGCGUUAAUCGGAAUUACUGGGCGUAAAGCGUGCGCAGGCGGUUGUGCAAGACCGAUGUGAAAUCCCCGAGCUUAACUUGGGAAUUGCAUUGGUGACUGCACGGCUAGAGUGUGUCAGAGGGGGGUAGAAUUCCACGAGUAGCAGUGAAAUGCGUAGAGAUGUGGAGGAAUACCGAUGGCGAAGGCAGCCCCCUGGGAUAACACUGACGCUCAUGCACGAAAGCGUGGGGAGCAAACAGGAUUAGAUACCCUGGUAGUCCACGCCCUAAACGAUGUCAACUAGUUGUUGGGGAUUCAUUUCCUUAGUAACGUAGCUAACGCGUGAAGUUGACCGCCUGGGGAGUACGGUCGCAAGAUUAAAACUCAAAGGAAUUGACGGGGACCCGCACAAGCGGUGGAUGAUGUGGAUUAAUUCGAUGCAACGCGAAAAACCUUACCUACCCUUGACAUGCCACUAACGAAGCAGAGAUGCAUUAGGUGCUCGAAAGAGAAAGUGGACACAGGUGCUGCAUGGCUGUCGUCAGCUCGUGUCGUGAGAUGUUGGGUUAAGUCCCGCAACGAGCGCGACCCUUGUCUCUAGUUGCUACGAAAGGGCACUCUAGAGAGACUGCCGGUGACAAACCGGAGGAAGGUGGGGAUGACGUCAAGUCCUCAUGGCCCUUAUGGGUAGGGCUUCACACGUCAUACAAUGGUGCAUACAGAGGGUUGCCAAGCCGCGAGGUGGAGCUAAUCCCAGAAAAUGCAUCGUAGUCCGGAUCGUAGUCUGCAACUCGACUACGUGAAGCUGGAAUCGCUAGUAAUCGCGGAUCAGCAUGCCGCGGGAUAGCUC
rnacentral:rRNA from 1 species